AGAGACGCAGCUACAGCAGCAGCGAUCCUCCUUUCCUCCAGUCGCUCCGGCCACGCGUCCAAUGCCAGGACCCCUCCUGCGCCUCCUGCUGCUGCUGACGACACACGGCCAAACCUUCCCCAGAUAGCUCCACAACUCCGAGUCCAGAGAAAGUUCUCCUCCGGAGCGCAAACGAAACAAGAGAGGGGAGGUCCUGCGAGAGAUAUUACACAGGAAGCGACUCUAGUCUGACCGCUUUUCUCUCUCAGGAGAUGAAGAUGAUGGAGGCGAAAGUCUGGAUUGCUCUUUGUGCGCUUCUGCUCCUUAACCGGGGAUCCGUAGCUUCUGAUACUAACAGCACUGCUGUGCCAUCAACUGCUCCACACCAGAAGGAAAGCUCAACAACUCAGCCGCCAUUAGAAUCUUCCACUGCUUCCACCAAUGCCACCCAAAACCUGGACACCAGAACCAACAUCACAAGCAUGAUGAAUACUUCCUCUACUGCCAUGCCAUCUAUCAAUCAAACUUCAUCAAAUCAAAGCAACAUUUUGGACAAUUCUACUGCCUCUUCUGCGCCGUCCAACCACUCCAUUCAAAAUGAAACCUCCCCCACUUCUGCCCCAACAUCUGAUCCCGCGACGAACUCUACAACCGCCGGCCUUAGUACCAGUUCAGUAUCCAACACCAGCCGGUCUCAAGAGACCACCACUUCCCAGCCGUCUCAAUCCAGCUUUGGAUCAACUAAACUCUUCCCAAGUACCACGAUAAGUCUGCCGAACAGCUCCUCCACCCAUACCACAAGUCCGUCCCAGCUCAACGUGAAGGGGAAAAUCUCUCCUCCACUGGACCCCCUUCUGGCUGGCCUAGUGUCAGCUUUCAUCGUCACUGCCGUCAUCAUCACACUGCUCCUCUUCCUCAAACUCCGCCGAAGAGACAGCGGACCGCAGUUUACCCGGCUGCAGGACCUACCCAUGGAUGACAUGAUGGAAGACUCACCCCUGUCCAUGUACAACUACUGAUUGGGUGUUGGGGGCCAACCAGAGCCUUUUCUACUCUUCAAUCCAGUACAGCAGUGCUGUGGUUGUUGAACCAGAUCUCCUUAAUCUGCACCUAACAGAAAUCUGCCUGGGUAGGUGUAAGCGUUUGCCUGGAUUACUUCUACUCACCCAGAUUUACCGGACGUGCAGAGGGAAUGGACCUAAUUUAAAGAGAAGUGCACAAUGAAGACCAGGAGGAAACCCUUUGGAAACCCUGUUUGAUCAAAAGCCUCUGUUCACUGCUGUACAUAUAAAGUUUGAGCUUGUACAUAUUUUCAUGCUCUUCAAAUGGUUAACAAAGAGUAGGUAUAAAACAGGAGGAAAUGGCUUUCAGUUGUAUCUGUCUGUGAUGCUCAGACCCCGGCCGAGGCGGUCGUGGCCCUCCGUCCACCGUCUGAGGUCUGACAGAAAAGACGCGAGGGGGGGGAAAAAACCUGAUUGUUAUGUCAAGAGGUUUGCACUUUACUUUUGAAAAAAAAGAGUUCAGUUUUGAUUCAGGUGAAUUUGGAAAAAAAAAAAAAAAACAAUUCUGUAAAUAGAUGGCCGACAGUAUUAGUGCUUUUAAGUGUGAGUGCCUUUGUGCGGGUCCGUUGCAUACAAGAGAGGAAUUGCAGGCAUGGCAGGGAAUAUUUAAUGUUUUAUUUUUAUAAUGCGUUUCUGUUGUCCUCAGGCCUUUAGUCCAGGAAAAAAAAGUGCCUUACACAUUUCAACAAAAGGCUUUUCUUGAUUCCUUCAAUUAUUUGCCAGAUGAACAAAGAUUUACAAUUUCCAGAUUUUAGUCACACCCACCCAAAGCAGUGAAGCUGCGCUGGCCUGCUGAUGUUCACUUGACUGCAGGCCUUCAGUCAGUAUCAAUGGAAAAUAAUGGUGGGAAAAUGGCUUUUACACAUAAUAUUUAGAUUUUAUAAACUGCUGAUGCUAAUUACCGAAAUUGGGCAAAACAACAAUAACAAAAAUAAAUGGAGUGACUCGGCAACGCCUUGUUUUAAGUUCAGAAGUAUUUUAAAGAUUUUUUACGCUAGCUUUGCAGAUGUACAGACAAAGAAGCAGCAAAACGUGUAUUUGUUCCAGUUAGCCAUGGGCUGGUUGUCUGUGUAGCAUCUGUAUUUUCCAUCACCUGGUUCCUAAAACCUUUGGGUCAUUAACAUCUUUUAAUGGAAUGUAAGAGAAAGUGCUGGAGUGUUGGGAUGUGUUUGCAGCACAUGGUAAUGCAGCGUUGCCCCAUCCACUUAUUGAUGCACAUUCCCAGUCAGCUUGCUGAAAGCAACUUGAACAUAUUUCUGGUUACGAUAAACACAGACAGUCACGGGCUGGAAGGACCACCACCCAUCUCUCAGUAAUGUAAAUUCUAAAUAUCCAGUCAGCAAAUGGGAGGUUUGUUGAACAGGGGACUGCAGGCUGGCUGCCCGAGCAGAUAGCCUGAAUAAAACAGCCAGCUCAUUUACACUCGUUACUCUACUGGGAGCAGAAUGGCUAAAAAGUAUGACGUUCUGUACAGAAAGCUUUUUGAAACUAUUACUAAAUUUAGUGCAUAUUUAUUUUGUCCUUUACAUGUCUACAGUUAUGCCCAAAAUUAUUCGUAGCCCUGGUAGAUUUACGUUUAAGGUGCUCUUUUAAGUUUACCAUCAGAUCUUUUCUAACUGGGGGAGGCCCAGCGAGAGUUCUGGAGGGAGACUAGAUGUUCAUCGCCAACUAUAAAACCAGUAAGUUACCAGGAUAAGCAUGCAAAAAGCUGGUCAGCAAUCAUAUAAUGAUGCUGUAAUGACAAUAAAGAUCUUUUUUCACUGAUUGAGAAGGAUAUAAAUAAUGUUUUGCUUUUCAAAAAUAUGUAUACUCCUUUUACGUUGUUAUACAAUGAGAGAUGUCCGUCUCUUUUCCUUAUAGAAACAAACCUCUUGGUUGAAUGAAAGUAAUUCUAAAUCUAAAUUUUCCAGGGCUAUGAAUAACUGAGCGUAGCUCUACAUAUAAAAAAAAGGGGCUCAAUAAAUGUUAUGGAUGACAUUAUUAUGACUGUAGUGUUCAGUGGAGUAGGUACAGUUGCUUUUCUGUUUCAGAUUAGGCAAUAAAUGGGUUUUGAAUUUAGAUGUAACAUUUUGUGGGACGUUUUGAGGUUAGAAUAGCGUGAGAGAGUCGUACUGAGCCAUGCCUAGUUCUCAUACAGAGUCACAGUCUGACCUCGGUUUGUGUUUAACCUAUUUCUACAGGAACCACUGAUUCAAUUAAAGAGCAACAGAAUGGUCGCAUCUGCGUGUUGCCAAUGUGCAAGAUGCACAUAUUUGGUGUAAAUUGUACAUGUUCAUAAAACAAUGCAGCGUUUUUCAUGUUUGCUUCUUGUUUUAGUGUCUUGGUGAUAGAAAUGGUCUCUGUUUUAACUUGGGUGCAGGUCUUUUAAGCUCACAGCAAACCGUCUGUUGAUCAUUUUCAGUGGGUUGGAAAAUGUUUGUCCAGGACUUUUUGCUCCGUUUCUCUUGAUCACAAAUCUGUUGAAUGCAUUUUGCUGCCAUUUGUACAUUUUAGACUGCUAUUUUUGUGAAUAAAUUUGUUUUAAGAUCA